rnacentral:misc_RNA from 1 species
AGGCAGUAACAGGGUGAGCAGGGACGGUCUUGAAGGCAAAGAAUCGUCUCUAUUUUAUGACUAUGUUCGGAUACUGGACUUAGUCAAGUCCAUAAUGUCUAGACAGAGAUAGUAUGACAGAAAUUCGUUCUAGCUUCAGAUUUUUAGUUAUCUUUCAAAAUUAUGAAACAUUACAUUAAGGGAUAAAGCCAUCACAUAAAAUUUCUGGCUUAAGAUUCUACAUCGACUGGUCUCCUACAAUACCAGUUGAUGAGCAUUCUAUUUCGCUUUGAAGCGAAAACAAACAUGAAGUGUAAAGUACAUUGUUACUAUUAGUUAUUGGCCUAACAUGCCAUUUCAGUUGAUGAGCA